rnacentral:rRNA from 1 species
GACGAACGCUGGCGGCGUGCUUAACACAUGCAAGUCGAACGGAAAGGCCCUGCUUGCAGGGUGCUCGAGUGGCGAACGGGUGAGUAACACGUGGGUGAUCUGCCCCUUACUUUGGGAUAAGCCUGGGAAACUGGGUCUAAUACUGGAUAGGACCAUGCUGUAGGUGGUGUGGUGGAAAGAUUAGUUUUGGUAAGGGAUGAGCUCGCGGCCUAUCAGCUUGUUGGUGGGGUAAUGGCCUACCAAGGCGUCGACGGGUAGCCGGCCUGAGAGGGUGGACGGCCACAUUGGGACUGAGAUACGGCCCAGACUCCUACGGGAGGCAGCAGUGGGGAAUAUUGCACAAUGGGCGCAAGCCUGAUGCAGCGACGCCGCGUGGGGGAUGACGGCCUUCGGGUUGUAAACUCCUUUCAGCCAUGACGAAGCCCUUGUGGUGACGGUAGUGGUAGAAGAAGCACCGGCUAACUACGUG